GGCGACCGGCGCACGGGUGAGUAACGCGUAUCCAACCUGCCCCACACUAAGGGAUAACCCGCAGAAAUGUGGACUAAUACCUUAUAUUUUCCACCAAGGGCAUCGUCGAUGGAACAAAGAUUUAUCGGUAUGGGAUGGGGAUGCGUCCGAUUAGGUUGUUGGCGGGGUAACGGCCCACCAAGCCUUCGAUCGGUAGGGGUUCUGAGAGGAAGGUCCCCCACAUAGGAACUGAGACACGGUCCUAACUCC
rnacentral:rRNA from 1 species